UACGUAGGGGGCAAGCGUUGUCCGGAUUUAUUGGGCGUAAAGAGCUCGUAGGCGGUUGGGCAAGUCACGUGUGAAAUCUCCACGCUCAACGUGGAGGCGCCACGUGAGACUGCCCUGACUCGAGUCCGGUAGGGGAGCGUGGAAUUCCCGGUGGUAGCGGUGAAAUGCGCAGAGAUCGGGAGGAACACCCGUAGCGAAGGCGGCGCUCUGGGCCGGUACUGACGCGUGGAGGAAGCGAAAGCGUGGGGAGCAAACAGG
rnacentral:rRNA from 1 species